AACCAUAGAAACCUGCGGAGUACCUGCGGAAGGAUCAUUAAAAAAAAAUGAUGAAUGUCGGGGGACGUUUUGUUCCCUGUGUAUUCAACCAACCCGCUCUUGUAUUUGGAUCAACCAAAAACCUAAAAAAACAAAAAUUUAUAAUUAAUAAAAAAUAAACUUUCAACAACGGAUCU
rnacentral:misc_RNA from 1 species